CGAACAAUCUGGGAAGGUUGGCGAAACAGGGUGAUAGCCCCGUAGGUGAAAUCAAUGACCCUCAGUUCAGGAUCCUGAGUACGGCGACACACGUGAAACGUCGUCGGAAUCCGGGAGGACCAUCUCCCAAGGCUAAAUACUCUCUAGUGACCGAUAGUGUACCAGUACCGUGAGGGAAAGGUGAAAAGCACCCCGGAAGGGGAGUGAAAUAGUUCCUGAAACCAUGUGCCUACAAGCAGUUAGAGCCCGUUAAUGGGUGAUAGCGUGCCUCUUGUAGAAUGAACCGGCGAGUUACGG
rnacentral:rRNA from 1 species